rnacentral:rRNA from 1 species
UACGGAGGGUCCAAGCGUUAUCCGGAAUCAUUGGGUUUAAAGGGUCCGUAGGCGGUUUAGUAAGUCAGUGGUGAAAGCCCAUCGCUCAACGGUGGAACGGCCAUUGAUACUGCUAAACUUGAAUUAUUAGGAAGUAACUAGAAUAUGUAGUGUAGCGGUGAAAUGCUUAGAUAUUACAUGGAAUACCAAUUGCGAAGGCAGGUUACUACUAAUGGAUUGACGCUGAUGGACGAAAGCGUGGGGAGCAAAAGGG